AAUGAACGCUGGCGGCGCGCCUAAUACAUGCAAGUCGAGCGAGAAGACGUAGCAAUACGUUUGUAAAGCGGCGAACGGGUGAGGAAUACAUGGGUAACCUACCCUCGAGUGGGGAAGUAACUAGCCGAAGGUUAGCUAAUACCGCGUACGCUCCUUGGACUUCGGUUCAGGGAGGGAAAGCGAUACCGUGGGUAUCGCGCUCUUGGUUGGGCUCAUGUCCUAUCAGCUUGUUGGUGAGGUAACGGCUCACCAAGGCUUCGACGGGUAGCUGGUCUGAGAGGACGAUCAGCCACACUGGCACUGCGA
rnacentral:rRNA from 1 species